ACGCGCAACAGAUUAGGCCAAUUUGAACGUUCCAAAGUUAACGUCUUUGUUAGCAUAAUUCGCUUACGCAUCCAUUCGCUUUUGUAUUUGUUAUCCCUCACAGCGAGCAAUGUCGUUUCACGUUUUCCUUUUUUUUUCGCUUCACUACAUUUACAUCACAGAACACGUCUGCAUCAGGACUGCAACGUUUUCAAGGAGAAACAAAGAAAAGAAGAAAAAAACACAAAAAUGCUUUGACAUGCACAAAUGACCAUUGGAUUAUUCUGUUGCAAAUCUAAAUCCCCCAGCAACUUGAGGCAACAUCUGAAACUAUGUCGCUGGAAUACAACAACAAAAAAUUAGUCUAACGUGAUGUUGUACAAAACGGAAGCCCGGCUUUCUCCUCCAACCUGCGUUGCCAUUGUCAACCCUUCCGCUCGGAGCAAGUGUUUGUCUGCACUCGACGAAGUGUGAUUGAAGCAAUACAGCCAUUCCGGCUAUUGUGAACGUAAAAUCUGGAAGUGAUUGUUUCCCGGCAGGCAGCGUCGUGUGAAACAACAAAUCUGUUGGGUAACCUCCAAAUGUCACUAACACGGGAAAAAAGAAAGAAAGAGAGAAGGAGAGGGGGAGUGGGGCAUGACAGCCAUGGUUGCAGUUUGAAUGCCACGGCCAAAGUGACAGGAUAUUUUGGGGUGGAGUGUUCAAUGUGCUGGUUUGCUGCAUGAUUUGUUGUUUACGUGCUAAGGGAGGCUUUCUUCCCGACAGUCGUUAACUUAACGUUUUCAAAGCCGACAUUGUAACGUUCAAAACAGAACAAAACAACAUCGAGAAUUAAUGGGACUGUGAAUGGGAAACGUUACAACUAUCAGAUCUACACCUACAAUCUAUGUGUGUUUGUAUAUUCAAAUACAAGGUUGUUUAGGCGAAAUUCCCGUAGGCGAUCAAUAAAAUCGAAUAAAGAAAACUUUAAAUUUAUUACAAACUUUUUGGCAAAACACACACACACCACCGCCGCAUCCCUGCACCAAACACAGGCUACACACAAAGACUUGCUACAAGUUGGCUACAACACACAACUGAGACCUAAUUCAUCCAACAAAUGAUUGAAUGGAAAUGCAGCCUUUACAUUUGUUGAAAUAAAAUUUAAGGACAUUGCCCAGAAGGCCAAACAAACCGGGAUCGAAGUGACCUUUAGAUGCCAGUCAAUUGAAUAGAAUUCCGUAGGAAUCGAGUGACCUUUUUGAAAAGUGAAACUUUUACUCUGCUACGACUAGCUCAGUCGAGGUUGGUUGACACCGCCACACAAAUAAAAUGCUCAUUAAAUGACAAUACUUCUACGAAUGGAAAAUAUUUCAUGGCUCGAUUGUCAUCGCUGUCUAAGAGGAUAUUUAACGAAACGAAUGGAAAACCAUUGAUGUGUAUCGGACAGUUCAAAAUCGUCGUGUUAGAGAAAUGCGUUUCUAUUGAAAAUCUCCAUUUUCGCUGAUAUUAGUUGUUGUUCACAGAGUGAUUCAUAAAACAAAUAUGGUAUUUGGAACUGUGA